ACUACCACUUCCUCCACUGCACAGCUAGGGAAUCUGGGUGUUUAGGUAACCUGUCGCAGGUCACUCAGCAGAAUCAGGCUUGAAUCCAGACAGUGUGAUUCCAAAGCCCAUACCCCUCACCACUUCUCGAAGCAUUCUACUAAUUUCUGUCAGAACUAUGGGUCAUUUAGAAAAGUGUUCUUUUCCGGGCACCGCGAGGAACCUGGCCUCCCUGUGGCUCCCAGUUGCCCACAGGGCUGAGCCUGCUGGGAAACCCAAGCCGCUGGCCACUGGCGACAGACACAGCAGCACUGCCUGGGAAUUGUGAAGUUACUUACCUCCAUGUACACAUCGAGCUCCCAGACUCAGGUAAGACCACAUCCCCUGACCCUUCCAAGGGAUGCAUUUAUUUUCAUGGUUACACAGAAGUGAGGAGCUCUCAGACUCUCUGAGAGAACUGCUGAACUUAGCAAUGUAAACUCAAAGCAAAAUGAAUAGGUGCUGAUCUAAGCUUUCCUUCUCUUAUACUUACUCAUACUCUAAUGUGUACAGAGUAGGAAAUUUUGGAAACUUGGGAGUAAAACCUGCUUCAUUAAAUAUUUCUUUAGGGUUACUGGGAACUAAAAGUUUGGUGAAAAUUUCUCUGGAAGCGCUUAGGGUCAUUUUAAAUAAAUUAUGAAUUGAUUAGCAGAUAUGCUGAAUUUGUUAGAUGCCUAUAUCAAGGGCUUCCGUUGGAAAGAAGCUGUCCUGUUUCUGCAGAUUUUUCUGAGAGAAUGUGAAUGAUGACAUCUGACUGUUGCAGCAGGCAAUAGCGCGUGGGUUCCCCAGACCCGUGUGUCCACCUUCAACCAGUUCCUUCACUUCUUCAAACCUCAGCGUCUCUGUAAAAAGUUGGGGCAUUAACAUUCCUCGCCUAAGGUUACUGCAAAGAUCAAAUGACAUCAUGUCUGUGAAAAUGUCUCGCACAGGCACUGGAAGAGUAGACAUUUCAUAAAUGGUAGUUUUAUUUAAUUUCAUGUCAUUUUAAGGGAGGGGCAGAUGUAAAAGCUUGUUAUUGAGAAAUAAGGAAACAGAAGCCACAAAUUUGUGGUCUGCAAUUUUUCCUUCACAUGAGAAAACUGUUCACCAAAGCUAUAUUUGCAAACAGGAAUACCAGAAUCUUUUACAAUAUUUCUCCCACUAAAACCUCAACUUUUAGUAAUUGGACACUUCAAAGUUUGGCUAUACAAUCUUUUCCUGCAAUAUACAUAUUUACAAUAUAAAAAUCAAGACAAAAAAUACACAGUCUGAGUCAAUAGGGAAGGCAGAUAAUCAGAUGUAAAUGUUAGGUUCCACAGCCUAUCAGAAAAGAAAUCAUCAUUUACAAAGAUGAUAAAUAUAGUGCUCACAAUAAGAAAAUUAGUAAAUCAGAAACUCUACACAAUAAAAAACAUUUAUGAAGAAGGCUUAUGUGGAAAAAUUACAUUUCCAUCUUUAAAAUUAUCUGCAAAUUACCUAAAAUUUCGUUUUCAGCAUUAUUUCCUUUUUUUUUUUUUUUUUUUUUUUUUGAGAUGGAGUCUGUCUCCAUUGCCCAGGCUGGAGUGCAAUGGCGCAAUCUUCGUUCACUGCAACCUCCGCCUCCCGGGUUCAAGCGAUUCUCCUGCCUUAGCCUCCCAAGUAGUUGGGAUUACAGGCACCCGCCACCAUGCCCAGCUAGUUUUUUUUUUUUUUUUUUUUUUUCCUAGUAGAGACAGG
rnacentral:lncRNA from 1 species